rnacentral:tRNA from 1 species
AAUCAUUUAGUUUAGUUAAAACAAGAAUCUUGGGGGUUUUAGAAGUGUUUUUUAGUACAUUGGUUA